rnacentral:snRNA from 1 species
AGGAUAUCGAUCAUGACGCGAU